GCGCCCGUCGGCAUUCCGACGGGCACGCCUGUUCGAGCGUCAUUGCACCCGUCAAGCCUCGCUUGGUGUUGGGGGACGUCGCGCCUCGCGCGACCCCCCCGGAACCCGUUGGCGGUGGCCCUUCGCCCCGAUCGUCGCGCACGUUACGACGGCGCGGGGGGACCGCCCGCCCAACCGGCCGGCAACGGCCGCACAACACGCAACGC
rnacentral:misc_RNA from 1 species